UCGUAGCUCAUCCAAGUAGAGCAGUGGACUUCUACUCCAUUGGUAGCGGGUGCGAAUCCCGCCAAUGUGU
rnacentral:tRNA from 1 species